rnacentral:rRNA from 1 species
AGAAGCACCGGCUAACUACGUGCCAGCAGCCGCGGUAAUACGUAGGGUGCAAGCGUUGUCCGGAAUUAUUGGGCGUAAAGAGCUCGUAGGCGGUUUGUCGCGUCUGGUGUGAAAACUCAAGGCUCAACCUUGAGCUUGCAUCGGGUACGGGCAGACUAGAGUGUGGUAGGGGUGACUGGAAUUCCUGGUGUAGCGGUGGAAUGCGCAGAUAUCAGGAGGAACACCGAUGGCGAAGGCAGGUCACUGGGCCACUACUGACGCUGAGGAGCGAAAGCAUGGGGAGCGAACAGGAUUAGAUACCCUGGUAGUCCACGCCGUAAACGAUGAGUGCUAAGUGUUGGGGGGUUUCCGCCCCUCAGUGCUGCAGCUAACGCAUUAAGCACUCCGCCUGGGGAGUACGACCGCAAGGUUGAAACUCAAAGGAAUUGACGGUCGACGCGGCCA